GCCGGGCGGCGGCGACACUGCCAACCCCGUCAGGUCCGAAAGGAAGCAGCGGCAACAGACGUUGUCGGGUGUCCGGC
rnacentral:SRP_RNA from 1 species